UCUUUCCUUUUGGUUCAGUGGUUUGAACCCAGGGCCUUGCACAUGCCAGAUAUCAUCUAUUGAUCCGAUAAUGGAGAAAACAUCAACCUAAGGAUUCUGAGAACAGCUAUAACGCCUUAAACUCUCUUGCAACCAUCAGACGGAUGUCAUCUCUGCACACAUUCCCGUGCCCACUCCUCACAAGGUUUCCUUUCAAAGAAGAACCCAAGACCCCAAAAGUACAUCUCACUCUCAAGAUAGCCCAUGCUCUCCUUGGCCUUCCUGAAUAAAUCUUUCACUUGUGUCUCUA